GAUGAACGCUGACAGAAUGCUUAACACAUGCAAGUCGAUUCAAGUUACCUUCGGGUAACGAGGAUGGCGGACGGGUGAGUAACGCGUAAGGAACUUGCCUCUUGGUCUGGGACAACUGUUGGAAACGACAGCUAAUACCGGAUAUUAUGAGAUUCUCGCAUGGGAAACGUAUGAAAGCUAUAUUCGCCAAGAGAGAGCCUUGCGUUCCAUUAGCUAGUUGGUGGGGUAACGGCCCACCAAGGCGACGAUGGAUAGCCGGCCUGAGAGGGUGAACGGCCACAAGGGGACUGAGACACGGCCCUUACUCCUACGGGAGGCAGCAGUGGGGAAUAUUGGACAAUGGACCAAAAGUCUGAUCCAGCAAUUCUGUGUGCACGAUGAAGGUCUUCGGAUUGUAAAGUGCUUUCAGUUGGGAAGAAGCAAGUGACGGUACCAACAGAAGAAGCGACGGCUAAAUACGUGCCAGCAGCCGCGGUAA
rnacentral:rRNA from 1 species